GCCACUGUGCCCCAGAGCACCAGUGCUCUCAAUGCCGCAGCUGACCGCUGGGAAAGGCUUCGCACAGGGCCAUGCGGGAAGGAGAUGACAGCCACAGUCCCCUGAGAUGAAGACCUGAAUGCAGAAGCUGCCGCGAAGGAGUCCCCAGAGCUUGCUGUGCGCGGUGCAGGAGGAGGAGUGUGCUGGGGGUGAGGGGGUAAAAACCUGAAGUCUGGAGGAGACCUGGAGUGAUGUGAGGUUGAGUUUCGUGUGGGGCAAGCCGGGUUUGAGAAGCAGGCCACCUUCUUCCAGGGGCACACAUCCAGCAAAUGCAGUGGGAAUGACCUGUGGUUCUUAGGAGAGAGGCUGAGGCAAGAGAUGCGAUUUUUGGAAUCAUCUGGAAAGAAGUUGGGCUGACAAGAGAAGAAAUGGAGCGAGAGGGUAGAAAAGAUAGAGAGAACAGGGCUGAAGACAGAAGCUGUCUAAGGAGGGGAAGGAGCCCAUGAGAGAAACAAUGUGGGAGGGUCGGGACUGUGCAGAGUGAAAGAACUCAGGAGAAGAGGGAUGUUCAGUGGGGGCCUGGGCUACAGAGACACCAGGAAGGAGGUGCCCAAGAAAACAGGUUUAGAUUUGGAAAUCAGGAGAUCUCUGGGGGCUUUCAAGAGAAUUAUUUGAGUGGUGGGUUGUGUAGACAAGAUUGCCACUCCUUGGGGGGCAUCAGGAUCCUGGAUCCAGUUGGUUGAUCCAGGGACACAAAGGUUCAUUUCUUUGAUUUCCUUCACGGGGACUCCGAAGGGCCUCCCCAGAGCCACAGCUUCCAGAGGGAUCUGACGAGGCCUCUGUGGAAAGCAACGCAGUUCAAGUUCAGUCUCUGCCUAAUCCUGUUUUCCUCACUCUCUCAAGGUGAGUGAGGUCUAUGGGGGUAAGCCCCCCCGCCUCCCCGUAGACCUCCUGGAAUGCCUGGAACAGCUCAGCAACCUGGGCACAGGUGGCUUGAGACAACCUAGCCAUUCGGGCCUGCUGCCAGAGUGAACGCCACAGGGAGGCCUGCCGGGUCUGGGGAGCAUGAGCUGGUCAGGCCCCCAGUAGACCCCUUGCAGGCUGAUCUCCAUCUCCAUGCAGAGUCUGUAUCCUAGAAAUCCAACCUGAGAUCCUGCGGCACCGAGAAAGGGAAGCUGUUUCAAGAGAUAGGAAUUGUCAGAAAAAGCCGGAGAAGGUGGUGUUAAAGGAAAACAUUGAGAAUGGGGAGUGAAGACGAGGGUUUUUCGUAGCAGAAGAUGGAUCUUCGAAAGCCAGGAGGCAGAGGAGAGCAACGCUGUCGGUGAGAUAAAGGAAGUUUUCAAAAACCUGCUUCUGUAACUAGUGGACAGGUCUUCUGGAUCCAAGGUCACCUGCUGGGGAGAAAGAGAAGCCUUUGGAUAAACAUCACAAGUUUUCCUGGAACAUGGAUUUUAUUUAAGAUUUUUUGGAAAGAAGGGAAUAAGGUUUU
rnacentral:lncRNA from 1 species